rnacentral:rRNA from 1 species
UACGAAGGGGGCUAGCGUUGUUCGGAAUCACUGGGCGUAAAGCGCACGUAGGCGGAUUGUUAAGUCAGGGGUGAAAUGCCAAGGCUCAACCUUGGAACUGCCUUUGAUACUGGCAAUCUCGAGUCCGGGAGAGGUGAGUGGAACUGCGAGUGUAGAGGUGAAAUUCGUAGAUAUUCGCAAGAACACCAGUGGCGAAGGCGGCUCACGUGGCCCGAGACCUG